GCCGCUCACGCUGGGCUGAGCGCACGCACACGCACACGCAGACGGGCAGGGCGCGGGCUAGCGGGGACCGCGCGGGGCGGGCCGGAGGCGCGCAGCUGCCGCCGCCGCUGCCGCCGCUGCUACUGCUGGUACCGCCGCUGGUGCUGAUGAUGCGGGCGCCCCGCCAGAAAGGGCAGCCUAGGGAUGUUCAGCAGAGGCCUCGCAGGCUACACAACUUGCUGUCCACUGCAAAGUUGGCGCUUGCUACUUGCUUAUUUUUCGGCUUUCAUCUCCAGGCUGCAAGUCCACGGAGAGGAGAGAGGGAAACAAGUGAGUCCAUUGUGUGAGUGCUUGCCCGGCAGCAAGCACCUGGCGGAUGGUCGAGAGGGGGAGAUGUGCGCCACUAACCAGAAGGCAGCCUGAGCUCAGGCAUGAGCCAGGAGACUGAGCAGUGCUUUGGAAGGUGGAGGCGAAACAGGGAGUUCACCCAGCAUCUGCUGCGGGAUGCCUGCCUUUGGAACAAAGAUUCCAUCAGCCAAUCACAGACUGCUUUGGGAUUCUUCUACUGCUGCCUGUUGCAGAAUCAGCUUUCUGGGCUCUGCAACGCAUUAAUUUUUCUUCAUCAUUCAUGCAAUAUUCAUAUCAAAACCAUUUCUCUGUAUUGCUUUGACUCUGGAUUUCUCAAAAUUAAUUGCCACGUCUGCGUUUUAAAAUGAAAAUAAAUACAGUUUCUUGGCUCUCA